AGGUAGCGGUGACCUGUAUCCGCAAUCCGCUCUAGCGGGGCUGAAUUCCUGUUUUAGGGACCAAGCCCUGGGGGUCAGUACGCCGGACCGAGGUGUUGAUGGUCGGGUCCCGCGCGGUGAGCGACUGCGAACCAGGUCAGAUCCGGAAGGAAGCAGCCUUAAGCGGAUCCGCUCAUGCGCCGCGGAACAGCCUGACCGGAGCCGGGGCUUGGCGGGCACGCCCGGAGGAGGGUUUCGACGGUGGGUGCACGG
rnacentral:SRP_RNA from 1 species